rnacentral:rRNA from 1 species
UACGGAGGAUGCGAGCGUUAUCCGGAUUUAUUGGGUUUAAAGGGUGCGUAGGCGGGAUGCCAGGUCAGCGGUAAAAAUGCGGUGCUCAACGCCGUCGAGCCGUUGAAACUGGCGUUCUUGAGUGGGCGAGAAGUAUGCGGAAUGCGUGGUGUAGCGGUGAAAUGCAUAGAUAUCACGCAGAACUCCGAUUGCGAAGGCGGCAUACCGGCGCCCUACUGACGCUGAGGCACGAAAGCGUGGGUAUCGAACAGG